rnacentral:tRNA from 1 species
GGAAAGAUGCAGGAGUGGCUGAACUGGCACGCCUGGAAAGCGUGUGUGCGUGCAAGCGUACCGUGGGUUCGAAUCCCACUCUUUCCG